rnacentral:lncRNA from 1 species
CGCGUAUAUACGCACAUUCAUUCUCAUAUUAUACAACAAAUGCACAUAUACAGAUAUUACAGAAUUGUGUAAAUACACAUAUAUACACGCAUAAUACAUACAUACAUAUAUACAUACAUACACAUAUUAGCACAUAAAUACUCAUGAACACAUACACACAUAUGCAUACACAUAUAAGUACGCAUACAUGAUUACAUGUACUACUGUUUACAUAAAGUGUAACCACAGAACUACAAACGGAGUGUGAGACCAAUAUUCCGAUGAAUAUUUUCUCAAUCAGGUAAGCACUUCUAUUGUUUAUAUGCUUAGGUGUCUGUCUGUGUAAUCACUGCCAAUACAUUCAUUCAUACAUAUAUACGUACAUACAUACAUUCAUACAUACAUGCAUACAUACAUAUUAUCUAUCUACCUAUCUAUCUAUCUAUCUAUCUAUCUAUCUAUCUAUCUAUCUAUCUAUCUAUCUAUCUAUCUAUCUAUCUAUCUAUCUAUCUAUCUAUCUAUCUAUCUAUCUAUCUAUCUAUCUAUCUAUCUAUCUAUCUGUCUGUCUGUCUUUCUAGCUACACUGAAUACAUAUGUAUAUAUAUAUAUAUAACUACUAAUAUACGAUAAAAGUUUUUCAGAAAAAAUUUCAUCGAACGUGGCACCUUUAAAGGUGAAAAUUAUAAAUGGGUUAUAUAUAUAUAUAUAUAUAUAUAUAUAUAUAUAUAUAUAUAUAUGCUUUAUAUAUAUGUAUGUAUAAACUCUUUUUCUUUUUUUCUCUUUUACUUGUUUCAGUCAUUUGGCUGCGGUCAUGCUGGACCAUCACCUUAAAAAGGGCUUUUAGUCGAGGAAAUCCACCCCAAGACUUAUUCUGUUUUUAAGCCAAGUACUUAUUAUAUAUAUAUAUAUAUAUAUAUCAAAAAAUGUGUGUGUGUGUGUGUUUUCGUGUCUGUGUUUGUCUCCCGUCAUUGUAUGACAACGGGUGUUGGUGUGUUUACGUCCCCGUAACAUAGCGGUUCGGCAAAAUUAACUGAUAGUAUAAGUACCCGACUUAACAAAACAUAAGUACUAGGGUCGAUUUAUUCGACUAAAACACUUCCCCAGCAUGGCCACAAUCUAAUGACUGAAACAAGUAAAAGAUAAAAGAGGGCACACACACACACACACACACAUAUAUAUACCCAUACGUAUAUAAACACGUGCACAUAUGUAUAUAUAUAUGUAUAUAUAUAUAUAUAUAUAUAUAUAUAUAUAUAUAUAUAUAUAUAUAUAUGUGUGUGUGUGUGUGUGUGUGUGUAUAUAUAUAUAUAUAUAUAUAUAUAUAUGUGUGUGUAUACAUACAUACACACAAACACACACAUACACACAUACAUUCACAGAUAUAGCUAUUUAUGCAGAUAUAUAUGUAUGUACAUAUAAAGGCACGUGGCUUUGUGGUUAGGCUGUUGCACUCAAGAUCGCUAGAUCGUUGGUUCGAUUCUCAGAUAGGACGACGCGUUAUGCUCUUGAGCGAAACACUUCCUUUCACAUUGCUCCAGUUCCAUUAUCGACCGUGGAGGGGGAUGGAUGUUGGCCUGUUCACCUAGCCAGCGGGGUGGCGUCAUUCGAAGGUAAAACGAUGCAGAAGCGCAUUAUGACCAGCGAUGUGUAAUAACAUCGGAUAGUCUGGUCGGUCACGUGAUCCAUUGAUAUGUACGUAUAUAUACAUACACAGAAGAAUUGAUGUAUGCAUACAUACACACACGCAUACACACCCACACCUACCCACAUAUAUCUAUGAAUCACUAAACAGCAGGAGUUAUGUAAUCACUUUCAGUAGCUUAUAGUUGUUUGUGCUAUUAAAAGCGUGCACUCUGAAGUGCGUGCUCGAGCGAUGUCAUAUAGCUUCUUCGGAGUCAUUAAAAUGAAAUGAUGAACUGCAUGUUUACUGCGGAAAAAUUGUGAAAUACGUGUAUGUAUGUAUGUAUGUAUAUAUGUAUGUAUUUAUGUAUGUAUUAUGUAUGUCAUUGUUCAGUGUAUUUCAAGAUUUUUUGCUAAUAGAGAAAGAACCGGCUUCUAACCUAGAUCCAAAGCUCCUUCAUUGGAAUUUCAACAUCAACAACAGUGUAUUAUUGUAUGUAUGUAUGUAUGUAUGUAUGUAUGUAUGUAUGUAUGUAUGUAUGUAUGUAUGUAUGUAUGUAUGUGUGUAUUAUGUAUAUGAAUGUGUGUGUGUAUGAACGCGCUCGAGUAUGCAUGUAAGUAUGGUGGUAUAUAUGAUGCGAAUUCAAAACUUUUACAAUGUACACAUAUAUAUAUAUAUAUAUGUAAUAUAAUUUUUCUGAAUCUUCAGACUUUUUUAAUAUGCUAAACCACUGGAUUUAAAUUGAUAUUAAUCAGAUUAAUAUUCAAUUUUUCACCCUUAUUAUUCUAAAUUUAUAUAUAUAUAUAUAUAUAUAUAUGUGUGUGUGUGUGUGUGUGUGUGUGUGUGUGUGUGUGUGUGUGUGUGUGUGUGUGUGUGUGUGUGUGCAUGCGUGCGUGUGCGUGUGUGUACAUAUGUAUAUAAUACACGCACACACAUAUAAACUUAUAUAUUUAUAGAUAUUAUUUUUUGCUUAUUGUUUUACCCAUUCGAAUGAUAGAUAUUGAAUCAUGAAAUUUUCAAUUAGCGCAAUGCAAUUGCUGACAGAAUAAAUGAUGUCAAAAAAGAAAAAAAAGAGAACACUACUCAACUGAAGAACGUUUUAAAAGGAAAUACAUUUUAUAAUUUAAUGAUUUAUAUUAUACGCUUAAUAAGAUAAAAUGUUGAGUGUUUUAUUAGGUUAUUCAUAUAUCUUUUGGUGGGUCAACCAAAAAGAUUGUGAUCAUAGACACAUUUGCUAAUUCUCUAAACGCAUAAGGUGAAGUAGACUUUUCCACUGUUAGCAGUUGGAUGUUUAGUAACUGCUGUUGACUAUGCUGUGGACAUUUUUGAUGAGACAUGGGGCAUUCUAACCGUCUUCGAUUAAGGUUGCAGCAGAAACAAAGAGAGAAAUGUUAAACUAUGUGAGUUAACUAUUUUCGAAUCCAUUCAAUGCAUAAUUUCUUUUUACAUAACACAAUGAUUAAAAAAAAAUAAAUAAAUGAAAAUUUGUUGUAGGAGUUUUUUCUAUUGCAAGAGUUACUUUUAAAAGUUGUCGAAUAUUUUGAAAUAUUAAAGUUUAUUUAGAAUUAUUAUUCAAUUUUAUUUACAUUGAUUUUUAUCUUGAUCAACAAACGCAUUAUCUGGAAAGAACAAAAGAAAAAAAAUACUCUUAAUCAUUUUCAAAGAAAUACGUACUAAAGAAUAAGGACACGAACGCAAAUUAUGAAGUAUUCUUCUUGUUGGCCAUUAGCUUGAAAAUGCAUGCUUCUUUUUUAACAGGGUUGUCUUAUUGAACGCUAAUUAGUACGAGAUCGGAGAUUUGCUUUUAUUUACACAGAUUGUGCAGUUUAUACUUUACUAACAGCCUUUCAUAGCUGUUCUGUUUUUUUUUGUAAUUGAAAGUAUUACAUAAAUUUUAAGCAACUUAUACAAAGCUGAAAAGACAAAAUGGGUAUCGUAUUCCUUGACAUAGUUGACGGUGACUGUCAGGUCAUGUUUUUGUGUGUAGAAUGAGUGAAUGGCCGUGAAUUCCGUCAGAAGUUCGUCAUUCUUGAAGUCGAACUUGUAGAGAGAGUAUUUGGAUCUUCAAUUGCUACACGUUUCCAGGUUAUGUGGCCUGGGGUACAAUUAGGCUUCAGAGGCAUUUUAGAAACUUUUGUUUGUGUUUCAUAAUUUCCUCUAUAUCUUCUAAUUUCUUGAAGAAAUGAAUUCAUUAAGAAGAGAAUAUCUUUUUACACAGCAGAACUUCUUCAAAUUCUGAGAAUGGUGAUGUGUUGUUGCAGACACAGAGCUAUAUAUAGUAACGUAAUUAUUAAAAAAUAGCUAGGAAAUUUAGAAGUAGAAAUAGCAAUAAAAGUUGACGGUGACUGUCAGGUCAUGUUUUCGUGUGUAGAAUGAGUGAAUGGCCGUGAAUUCCGUCAGAAGUUCGUCAUUCUUGAAGUCGAACUUGUAGAGAGAGUGUUUAGAUCUUCAAUUGCUACACGUUUUCAGGUUAUGUGGCUUGGGGUACAAUUAGGCUUCAGAGGCAUUUCAGAAAUUUUUGUUUGUGUUUCAUAAUUUCCUCUAUAUCUUCUAAUUUCUUGAAGAAAUGAAUUCAUUAAGAAGAGAAUAUCUUUUUACACAACAGAACUUCUUCAAAUUCUGAGAAUGGUGAUGUGUUGUUGCAGACACAGAGCUAUAUAUAGUAACGUAAUUAUUAAAAAAAAAUAGCUAGGAAAUUUAGAAGUAGAAAUAGCAAUAAAAGUUAGAGCUAACCAAUAACAAGUGAAUUAAUUUUAGUAACUAUAGUGAGUGGAAAACGAGAUAAAACUAAAGUAAUGUGAUUAUAUGAAAAAUAGCUGUUAGUCGAGGACUCGAACCUGAGUAUGUGGCUUUGCAUGUAUGGGAGAAUUUAUAAAAUUGGAAUAAAAUAAAAUAAAAUAAAUUAAGUGCUGAAGUGAAACGGGUCAGAUGGCGCUGCGUGCAUACAAUUUCCUAUGGCGACUGUAUCGAAUGGUUUGCGUAUAAAGUUCCAUUCAGGAUCGACGUAAAAUUUUUCUGGGAGUACGUAAAUAUCGUGUUCUGAGAAUGGCCGGUAUGUGACUGUGUAUUUGUUCAUGUUUUAUAUGUGUUGUAUAGGACAUCCUGACGAGGGGAAUGCCAAUUUUAAGUACUGAUAUGUCUAGUAUUGAUUGGCACAUCCCCAAAACGGCCCGUAGAUGAUGGACUUCUGUAUAUCUUAUAUUUUUGUAAGCUUGUAUGUGUAUUAUAUUUUAUGUACUAUUCGCCGGAAUUUUACUAGUGUCUUGAUAUGCUAUAUUUUUAUUUUAUUAUCACUAUAUUUAUUCCGCUUAUCCUAACAGUUUAAAGCGUGUAAUAUGCAAAAUUUAUAUUUAUAUUUUUAUUUGUAUAUGAUACUUAUAUAUUACUGAAUUUUUUAAUUUCUAAUAUGUCGGACUGUAUAGAUAUAAACUAGUAUAUAAGAUUUGCAUGUGUUUGGUCUAUCUUUGAAUUUUGUGGUGUUCCUGUGGUUGUUGCUCCUAUUGCCUCCCCUUACAUAAAAAAAGUGUAUACAUAUAUAUAGUUUUUAUUCUUAUCAGAAGUGACUGACUUGUAUACCUGACUCACAAAACAUGUGAACUGUUUUGAGCAUUCUACUUUCAUUUACAUUACGAAAAUCCACGAAACAAAAAAUAUAUGGAACUGUACCACAUUUCUAAUCAUAAUUUUUAUAAAGAUCAAUUGUGGACAAGUACAAGUGUUACUUCUGACACUUGAUCUGUUGAAUUAGUAUUACAUAUAAUAGAGAACCGAAAAAAUAAAAGAAUAAUUUCUUCUAAAAUUAUUAAAUGCAAGUUCUGUUUCUUAGUUCUCGGCGCCUAAAUAUGGGGUAAUAUAUUGUCUGAUUUAGGGUGACGUAGUCCAGUUUCGUUAAAUAAACUUAUGAGCACAACUGUAAACAUUGAAUUCAUCUGAUCAUGCUGUUAAAUAUAUCUCUGGUGUCAAUGAGUUCAGGAUUACAAUUUUACGUCUCCGAAGAUAUCACUUUUUUUUCCGGUUAUCCAUGUUAGUUUUGCAGCCUUCUCUUUUGGCGAUCAGGUGUAAUCUGCUUGCUUUGUUAUAUCCCGUUGCUCAAUAUUUUUGAAAGGAGAGUUGUGAUUGUGAUUUCUUUUGGUUCUCAUUUUCGUCCUACUAAUAUUCUGCAUCGGGGUGGUGCCAUGAUUCAUGUUGAUAGAUUUGAUAUCGGCUUCAAACAGGAGGACCUCUGUGAUGCAACCUGCCUCCGUAGGUGAGCUGGGAUUAUGCAUUAUAAUUUGUUUCCAGUGGAUGAUGCAGCUAAACCCAAUCUCAAGCGUGUGUUUGCUGGACAGCGUCAUAAGGGUAUCCCAUGAGGGGCAUUCACGAAAAAUGUUUCACAGCUUUACCUCUUUUAGGAACAUUAAUAAAAGAACUGUAAGAUUUUCGAAUCACAUCUGGUCGUAAAAAAGUAACAACUUCAAACUGUAAUAUCAACAGGAAGAUCUUAGGCUUACAUAAUUGACAUGGAAAGAUGUAGUAAUUGUCCUGCAAAAGAAAUACUGAUCAUGAAAAUUCACAAUAGCUAGGAAUAUAAUUGAAUACAAUGUCUGAAACGUUCGAUAAAUGUAAACGUAUCAAUAAAUAACAAUUUUGAAACUGGGAACAGCGUUCUGAGCAAGAUAGAGAAUUCGUAUGCAUGAAUAUAUGGAUCUUUGUGCGUAUUACAUAUAUGUUUAGUUUCAGUCAGGAAUGAAACACUUGAAGCGCUAUGUGAUGUUGAAGCUCCCUAUGUCAAUCCAACAACUUAUUAACAAGUUGCGCGUUAGAAAUCUUUCGUUAUCGAAAUUUGAACUUACAGUAGUGAGCCACUGCAGUAAGAAUUCAUAACGUAUUAACAAAUCCAGCCCGAUUCCAUACCUUUGUUUCUAAUAGAGCAGUCAUAGGCAUUCUUCGACCGCUGUACGCCUAACGAAAAAUUAUUUUGAAAAAUAACGAUGAGUUAUGAAUCAUACGACCCACUUCUCGAAGAGCGUUGCUCAUACUUGUAAUAGAUGAUCCCUUAAAACGUGAUGAAGUGGUUGAGUGAGAUCAGUAUUUCCUCUAUUGACUACCCCAUGUCUAGAAUGGAAAACCUUUAUUGCGGAAGAACUUUGGAAAGAGUGACCUUACUGUUGACAGCGUAUCUACUUCACGAACAUUGUCGUGAUGACAUUGAUGACAAUCAUAUCAACACCGACGUUGAUUAUUAUUAUUAUUACUAGCUGGCCCAGUGCCGUCAAAAAUGACGGCUAAUUGUAGUAUUUUAUAUAUAAAUAAGGUACAAAACCAAGGUUUUAGUUUAAUAAUUCUUUUAUUACCAAUUUUUUUUUUUGUGAAAAAUCUAUUCGCAACAUAACAUUCCUUGAUAGCUUGUUUCAUUUAAAAGAAUUUUAAAGUUUUCCUUCCUUCUUGUACGACUUAAGGCUGGCCGUGAUUAAAUAUGGGAGCUGGCAAGUAAAUACCGACUUUUUCGAAGCGACGUUUCCUUUCAGUUGCGCUCUUCAUUACCGAAACCAACCUAAACUCAUACGACUUAAAGCCACAAAAAGCAGUCCGUGACAUAGUUGAUGUAAAAACUCCUUAUUCAAAAUUUAUUACACAAAUUUCUUAAUAUAAAUGAAUUAGGCACAUGUAUGAAUUGCUAAAUGGUUAUUUAUAAUAUACCUUUCAACUGCGGUCAUUUUAUAUUCUUGAAUAAUUAUUUUCUCUAAUGAGUUUAUACGUAUGUGUUUGUGUAGAUAUGUGUGAUUGUAAUAAUUAUUUGUAACACAACAGAUAGGAUAAAGAUGGUAAAUCAAAUUAACACACUUCUUAUUGUUAUCUAGUGGUUGAAUUUUGAGAUGUAACAUCAUCAUCGUUUAUUACUGAAAUAACGCUGGUUAGUUUAUCUAUAGUUACUGAAAGAACACUGGGUAAAUAUUUCUUAAUAUAAAUAAACUAAGGGCAUGUAUAAACAGUUAAAUUAAAAUGUGUAUUUAUAAUACAUCUUUCAACUACAGUCAUUUUAUAUUCUUGAUACACCCAGGCAAUAAUUAUUUUCCCUAAUGAGCUUGUAUAUGUUUGUGUAGCUGUGUGUGAUUGCAAUAAUUAUUUGUAACACAACAGCCAGAAUAUGGAUGGUAAAUCAAAUUAAUACACUUGUCAAUGUUAUCUAGUGGUUGUCUUUUGAGAUGUGACACUGAUCAUCGCUCGUUACUGAAAGAACGCUUGUUCACACACACAAACAUUCACAUACUUCUCUUGUACACGCACACGCAUACACACAUAUACUCACUCAGAAUUGAAACGCUGUUUGAUUUUUCUUUUCAGUGUUGAGUGCUCACCAUCCCACUUUCAUUGCACACACACACGCACAGCUGUAUUUCGCCCGACGCUACGUUCUGAGUUCAAAUUUCGCCAAGUUCGACGUUGCCUUUCAUCCUUUCGGGGUCGAUAAAUUAAGCACCAGUGAAACACUGGGGUCAAUAUAAUCGACUCAAUCUGUUUGUCUGUCCUUGUUUGUCCUGUCUGUGUUUAGCCCCUUAUGGGUAGUAAAGAAAUAGGUAUUUCACCCAUUGCGACGUUCCGAGUUCAAAUUCCGCCGAGGUCGACUUUGUCUUUCAUCCUUUCGGAGUCGAUUAAUUAAGUACCAACUGAACGCUGGGGUCGAUGUUAUCGACUUGUCCCCUCACAACCAAAUUUCAGGCUUUGUACCUUGGAUAGAAAGGAUUUGUUACCGCGCCGGACAAAAUGCUUAGUGGCGUUUCGCCUGGCUCUACGUUCUGAUUUCAAAUUUCGCCGAGGUCGACUUUGCCUUUCAAUCCUUUUGAGGUCGACAAAGUAAGCAAUAAAGUACAUAAUAUAUAAUUUAAUUAUAUAUAUGUACGAGCGAAACGCACCCCGCGUCCAAUGGACGGUGCUGAGUUGUCAAACAUUUAAACCAAAUUUUCUCUAAACAAUUGUCCGACCGUCUCAUAGGCCACCCCUUUGAGAAACACUGAUUUAACCUAAAUUUGAGACACCGUGCAUUUUUUCGCGUACGCGUAGUAUCGAUCGCAACAGCUGAUGUACUUGCACGUACAAAUGCACGUUCCCACGGCUUUAUCGAUCGCAUUCUCACCUGGAAUCGAUUUUUGUAAUUUUUUCAAGACUUAUACACGCCCUGAUACCGUCGGUAUCUACAUAUCAAAUUUGAGCGCAAUCGGAUGGAGGAUGCCCGAGAUCUUAGAAGACACAGACAGACAGACAACGGAUUUUAUAUAAUAGAUGUGAAUGUGUGUGCGUGUGUGUGUGUGUGUGUUUGCGAGUGCGUGUAUGCAUGUAUUGAUCAAUAUGUGUGUAUGCAUAUAAGGUAAAAAAAAAACCCUGUAGACUACGAUAGUCACUGAGAUAGAAAUAAUAUUUUAAAAUUUCUUUUUGUGUGGUUUGGUUUCAAAUGAUCCACAGCCUGGUACUGGUUCUCAGUUCAGUCGUUGGGGCCCCUGAUGUUUAGCAAAGAAUCUCAAAUUUAUUCAGCUAUAAUCUCCACCAAACCAAAGUUUAAGAAGUAAAACAGCCGUCUGUACUAAAUGAAGGCAAUAUAUCUAUUUUGUCUGUAUUAUGGUAAUUAUACGUCAUGCUUCACCAGCCGUGUGCAUUCUCGUCCUUUAUAAACGAAUUACAUGGUUCAUCUCUCUCACUCUCUCUCACUCACACACGCAAACACACUCUCUCUCUCACAUACACACACAAACACUCUCUCUUCUUUAGUUCUUUUUAUCAAGAGUUAGAUUAAGGAAGUGUACGGGGGUUAACCGUAGAAUUUUUGACAACCACUGUGAAAUAAAAACACGUUCGUACUUGUUCGUACGUCUCCACCUUCUCAUAGCCUGUUGCUGUCAUUUCUCUCUACCCUCUCUCUCCCUUCUUGCCAUUUAACUCUUCUCUAUAUUACGCGUUAAGAUACUCUCUGAUGGACAAACAGACAGACACUCAGAUUACUUUGUAAGAGUUGAUGUCAUAAAAUUAAAUUGUUCAAAUAUUUUGCAAAUGAAACAAUUGACAUCAUGAACUAAUGAUUAAACCAUUGCACUAAUGUUGUCUCCUUACUGCAUAAGUAUUAUUAAUUGCCGUAUGUCCCGACCUUGACGACGCUGUUUGUUUUUUCUUCUUCCGUCCCCAAAAUACAUCUCGAAAGCUUAUUGUGCUUCGUAAAGGACGAAGCUGACAAUUUUCAUAAACCAAUUUGAAACGCUGAUGAAGAUUAGCCUGGCCAAACUUACAAGGCUUCCGUUCUGAAUAAAACUGAAAGAGAAAUAUCUUUUUUUACUUGUCUCAAUCUUUGGGCUACGACCAUACUGGGGCACCGCCUUAACCCCUUACCCGGCAGAAACGAAUAUAUGCGUUUUGACCGAAAUCGUUUUUUCUAUCUCUGGCGAGUUAACUCGUCAAAAGAUAGACUCGCCAAAAUCGACAGCAAACAAGUUCCUUCGUCUAUUAUAAACUCUUUUUUGACAUAUACGAGUAUAUUCGCUCACUUUAUACGUCUGGCAGUGACGAUUUCUGCCACCUUUUGCUUGAGUAAGGCAUUGAAGACCGAGUAUGAUUUAGUCACCUGGAGACAGUCGAAGGGUUGGAAGGCACAUUUUAUGAAUAGAAGUUUUCACUUUAUUUUGUCUCUCUUUUUUGUCAUUACUAACAGUUUUGAAGUAAUAAAAUCAACAGAAGUAAACAAUCAUGUUUUGAUCAUUCAUUCUAAAUUUGGAAAAUAAGAUAACCAAAUAAAAUAACAUGAUUUUUUGUAAAAGUAAUAUGAUUUAUGAAAAAAACGGGUUAACUCGUUUCUGCCCAAAGCGGUAAUUUAAAAUCAAUAUUAUUGAAUUAAAAUUCAUAAUAAAUAAGGUUUGAAAUAUACCUCGAAAUCACCAUUCAAAACAUAGUAAAAUAAAACAAUUAAAAAAUAUGUCUGAAAAAAUACAUUUAUUUUCAAAAUAAUUGUUGGGUAAGGGGUUAAGAGGUUUUAUUUGAAUAAAUCGACCCCAGCACUUCUUUUUCUUUUUAAGUUUGGUACUUAUUUUACCGGUCUUUUUUGUUGAACUGCAAUGAACAAGAUCUAUACAUCGUUAAUCUACUAGAAAAACAUCAUGGUAAAUAAUAUAAAAACACGAAGGCCUUGUUUUUAUGUUUAACAUUUUUUCUCGAGAUUUUCUGGUCAAAAUUAAGAUACAUUUUCGCUGUCGGGACGUCUUCAUUAUAUAUAGUAUGUUGUUUUCGUGCGGUAUGGUUUUAUUAGUUAAUUUUCUUUUCUUAUAAUAAUUUUUGGUGCCUAUGAGUGAGGGCGCAUGGCUUAAUGGUUAGAGUAUUUGACUCACGGUCAUGAGAUCAAGGAUUCGUUUUUGGACUGAGCGGCGCCUAGUGCUACACACUUGCUGUUCCAGGCUGGAGAGUAUGUAGGUGUUUAUGUUCGCUGCUAUACAGGCAACUAAAAUAGUUUACGAAAGUAUGGCACAUGUUACCAAGUCAUAUUCAUUUGAGAGACCUGGUGAUAUUUCAUUAAUGUACAUUAUUGUACACCAGUCUACUUGUUAUCUUAUCACUAGUCUGGCAAUUACGGAGAAGGCAAUGUUUCGUUGAAGAGGUCUGAUAUGACUGAAACAUGUCCAGAGUUGUCUCUCAUGCUUGCAAAAGCAAGUUAAAGGUAAUUCGUUGAUUAUCAAAUACAACAGUAUCCAACUGUUGUUAGACUAUUCUUUUUAAAGAAUUGUUACCUUGAAAGAAAGAGAAAGCGGGGUAAGAGAUAUGAAUAAAUGUGGUAGAACACCAGAAAUGGUAAAAUGGAGUAUUAGAUAUGUUACCAAAUUUAGUUUCACUCGUCAACGAACGGGUUUGCCUUUUAUUUUACAGAGGUCAAAAACAAUAAAUGCGAAAGGCCAUAUCACGUUGAAAGCACCGGUUCUUAUCCGAUCUCCGAAGCUAAGCAACGUCGAGCCUAGUUAGUACUUAGAUGGGUGACCGCUUGGGAAACCUAGGUGCUGUAAGCGUCACACAUUUUACUUAUAGGCGUAGGAGUGGCUGUGUGGUAAGUAGCUUGCUUACGAACCACAUGGUUCCGGGUUCAGUCCCACUGCGUGGCGCCUUGGGCAAGUGUCUUCUACUAUAUCCUCGGGCCGACCAAAGCCUUGUGAGUGGAUUUGGUAGAGGGAAACUGAAAGAAGUCCGUCGUAUAUAUAUAUAUAUAUAUAUAUAUAUAUAUAUAUAUAUAUAAUGUGUGUAUGUUUGUGUGUCUGUGUUUGUCUCCCCAACAUCGCUUGACAACCGAUGCUGGUGUGUUUACGUCCCCAUAACUUAGCGGUUCGGCAAAAGAGACCGAUAGAAUAAGUACUGGGCUUACAAAGAAUAAGUCCCGAGGUCGAUUUGCUCGACUAAAGGCGGUGCUCCAGCAUGGCCAGAGUCAAAUGACUGAUCAAGUUCUGUUGUGAUGAUAGACAUAAUACCUUUAUGGGAUUAAAAAGUAGACUCAUCGAACUCUUAAAACGAGUAACGCAUCUCGUGAGCAAGGUAGAAGGCGUUUGGAGUCUCGCGUGUUGGUAGUUGGAAGUUGCAUCUCGUGAAUACAUUACUUACUUCCGCUUCGCUAAAAUCAUAUAUAUAUCCGCAACACAAUCAUAUAAAAAAUUAUCUUUUAACUCUGAGGGAUGGGAUGUAUAAAAUUAAUCUGAAUCUGUAUACUAGGACGUCAAUUCAAGUGAAUACUAUGAAUUUGUUACCAUGUAACAAAUAGGCGCAGGAGUGGGUAUGUAGUAAGUAGCUUGCUUACCAACUUACCAACCACAUGGUUCCGAGUUCAGUCCCACUGCGUGGCACCUUGGGCAAGUGUCUUCUGCUAUAGCUUAGGGCCGACCAAUGUCUUGUGAGUGGAUUUGGUAGACGGAAACUGAAAGAAGCCCGCCGUAUAUAUAUAUAUAUAUAUAUAUAUAUAUAUAUAUUUAAAAAAGGAGAUGUGGAACACGAGUUGUGAUAUAUAAAAAAGGAAAUGAAGAAAAUGCUGACAAAAUAAUAAAAUGCUGACAAAAUAAAGUUUUUUCUUCUAGGAAAAAACUUUUGAUAAGCAUAACAAAUGCGCAACCGGUAAAAAGAACUUCACCUAAUUAAAUUACUUAAAUUACUUAAAUUAUUUUGUCAGCAUUUUCUUCAUUUCCUUUUUAUAUAUAUAUAUAUAUAUAUAUAUAUAUAUAUAUAUGUAUGCGUGUGUAUAUGUUGUGUAUCUGUGUUUGUCCCCCCCAACAUCGCUUGACAACCGAUGCUGGUGUGUUUAGGUCCCCGUAACUUAGCGGUUCGGCAAAAGAACGAUAGAAUAAGUACUAGGCUUUCAAAGAAUAAGUCCUGAUUUCAUUUGACUAAAAGGCGGUGCUCCAGCAUGGCCGCAGUCAAAUGACUGAAACAAGUAAAAGUGUAAAAGUGUAUGUAUCUUCGAAACUUUGGCACAGGGUCAGCAAGUUCGAAGAAGGGGGCGAGUCGAUUGCAUCGAAGUCAGUGCUUAACCGUAGUACUUUUUUUUAUCGAUACCGAAAGGAUAAAAAGCAAGGUCGACCUCAAAACGUAAAAACAGACGAAAUGCCGCAAAGCAGUUUGUCCGGCGCGCUAACAAUUCUGUCAGCUUCCCACCUUGUGCUUUUUUUACUCUUUUACUUGUUUCAGUUAUUUGACUGUGGCCAUGCUGGAGCACCGUCUUUUAGUCGAGCAAAUCGACCCCAGGACUUAUUCUUUGUAAGCUCAGUACUUAUUCUAUCGGUCUGUUUUACCGAACCGCUAAGUUACAGGGACGUAAACACACCAGCAUCGGUUGUCAAGAUGUUGGGGGGCAAAUACAGACACACAAACACACACACGUACACACACACACACACACACAUAUGUAUGUAUAUAUAUAUACAUAUAUAUACAACGGGCUUCUUUCAGUUUCCCUCUACCAAAUCCACUCACAAGGCUUUUGUCGGCCCGAGGCUAUAGUAGAAGACACUUGCCCAAGGUUACACGCAGUGGGACUGAACCCCUAACCAUGUGGUUCGUAAGCAAGCUACUUACCACACAGCCACUCCUACGCCUAUUAAUAUUGGUUUCAAAUUUUGGCACAAGGCAAGCAAAUUUUGGUGGGGUUGGGGUAAUUCGGUUACAUCGACCUCCGGUACUCAACUGGUCUGAUUUUAUCGAUCCCAAAAGGAUGAGAAGCAAGGUCGACCUCGGUGGAAUGUGAACUCAGAACGUAAUGACGGAGGAAAUGUUAAGCAUUUUGUCCGUCGAGUAAACGAUUCUUAUUUCUUUACUGCCCACAAGGGGCAACACACAGAGGAUACAAACAAGAACUUGGAACGUCGCAAUGGGUGAAAUACCUAUUUCUUUACUACCCACAAGGGGCUAAACACAGACAGGACAAACAAGGACAAACAAACGGAUUAAGUCGAUUAUAUCGACCCCAGUGCGUAACUGGUACUUAUUUAAUCGACACCGAAAGGAUGAAAGGCAAAGUCGACUUCGGCGGAAUUUGACCUCAGAACGUAGCGGCAGACGAAAUACCGCUAAACAUUUCGCCCGGCGUGCUAACGUUUCUGCCAGCUCACCGCCUUAUUCUAUAUCAAUAUAGCAAAUGAUUUCGUUACUGGAAAACUUAUUUCGAUUAAAACAUAAUUCCGAAAGGCAUGAGAGACAGAUUGCUCUCUUUCUCUUCUACUAAAGUUACAGAAGAAUUGUGUGUCUGCGAAAAAGAAAACCCUUAUUAAUUGGGGAUAGAUUUGAGAAUGUAAACUUCUAGUUAUCAUAUCAACGGAUCAUCUAUAGAAUUGGUCAACUACUGAUUCUGAAUACAUAGAAAAAUCUAACAACGGACUCGUUAUCUAGCAAAAGACAGUCCGAUAUUAGCAUAAGAUGACAGGAUCAUCGUAACUUGUAAGAAGAAAACGUAAUUGUUUAUGAAAGCAUGAUGGUUACGUGCUUUAGAAAUACGCUUUGUAAUCACGUGCUUCCAAGUUCGGUUUCAUUGCGUGCUCUUGUACUGUAGUUUCAAUGCGUGCUCUUGCACUGUAGUUUCAUUGCGUGCUCUCGUACUGUAGUUUCGAGCGUUUCAGUUUGGACAAUACUUUAUGUAUGUAGUUUGUAAGGCGGCGAGCUGCCAGAACCGCUAGCACGCCGGGUGAAAUGCGUAGCCGUAUUUCGUCUGCCAUUACGUUCCGAGUUCAAAUUCCGCCGAGGUCUACUUUGCCUUACAUCCUUUCCGGGUCGAUAAAUUAAGUACCAGUUACGCACUGGGGGUCGAUGUAAUCGACUUAAUCCCUUUGUCUGUCCUUGUUUGUCCCCUCUAUGUUUAGCCCCUUGUGGGUAGUAAAGUAACAAAUACUUUAUGUAUGUAGUUUGGUAAACAGAAACUGUGUGGAAGUUCGUACAACCACCAUCACCACUCCAAACACACACACGCACACGCACACGCACGCGCGCGCGCGCGGCACCCUAAAACAUCCAAUCAGCUAGACGUGAUGUAGUGACGUCUGGCUCAUUGGUUGCGUCUAAGAAACUAGUAAUGUGGGUUUAAGUCAACCUGUUAAUACAUACAGUUAACUUACGCAAUAGGUGUUUAGUACUUUUCUUUUCUAUCAUUAGUUUACAUGCGCAUAUGCAUGCGUGUGUGUACAUGUAUAUAUAUAUAUGUAUGUAUGCGUAUAUAUGUAUGUAUGCGUAUAUAUGUAUGUAUGCGUAUAUAUGUAUGUAUGCGUAUAUAUAUAUGUAUGUAUGCGUAUAUAUAUAUGUAUGUAUGCGUGUAUAUAUAUAUAUGUAUGUAUAUGUAUGUAUGUAUGUAUGUAUGUAUGUAUAUGUAUGUAUGUAUGUAUGUAUAUGUAUGUAUAUGUAUGUAUGUAUGUAUAUAUAUGUAUGUAUGUAUAUAUAUGUAUGUAUGUAUAUAUAUGUAUGUAUGUAUAUAUAUGUAUGUAUGUAUAUAUAUGUAUGUAUGUAUAUAUAUAUGUAUGUAUGUAUAUAUAUGUAUGUAUGUAUGUAUAUAUAUGUAUGUAUGUAUGUAUAUAUAUGUAUGUAUGUAUGUAUAUAUAUGUAUAUAUGUAUGUAUAUAUAUGUAUAUAUGUAUGUAUAUAUAUGUAUAUAUGUAUGUAUGUAUAUAUAUAUAUGUAUGUAUAUAUAUAUGUACGUAUGUAUAUAUUUGUGUGUGUCUGUCUGUUUAUAUAUGGAGAUAUGUUGAGGCGACGGCUGCAAUUAAUUGAAAACGUGAUGUCACCUACUCUCUUGUUGCUAACUUAAGCCCGUUGAACGACGGGUGACAGGCUGCGGUUUCCUCCCCCUCAACCCAGAUGUCUGGCAAAAGUAAUGUGUGCAUGUUGUGGUACGAAGUCUGAGGUCAUAUACAAAGGAGAAAAUGAGACGACAAUUUACUUCAACAUUCAAUUUUAAUUGCUUACCUACACCGAAGAAUUGUCAUACAUGUUUACCUAGAUCUGUGCACUUGGUGCUGCCUUAAUGUCUGAAUAUGUAAAGAAAGUGUGUGUGUGUGUGUGAGAGAGCUUGUGUAUAUGUGUUUGUGCAUAAAUAUGAUCUAAAUAUGGGUGAUCUAACUAUCGUAAGUGCAGUAGCAAAAUAGCUAAGAUAUUAGGUGGCGAAAGGUGGCAAGCUGGCUGAAUCGUUAGUACGACGGGCAAAGUGCUUAGCGGCACUUCUUUGUUUUGCGUUCUUGGUUCAAAUGUCGCCGAGGUCGACUUUGCCUUUCAUCCUUUCGGGGUCGAUAUGAUAAGUACCUGUUGAACACUGGAGUCAAUGUAAUUGACUCAUCCCCUUCCCCGAAAUUGCUGCCCUUGUGGUAAAAUUUGAAACUAUUAUUAUUAUUAUUAAGCCCUGGAGUCGAUGUAGUUGACUACCCCCACUCCUCCCACCCAAAUAAAAUUUCAGACCUUGUGCAUUUUGGCAGAAAGCAAAAAAAGUGCUUCUUGCAUUUUAAGUUCAAAUCUCCCCACUGUCAACUUUACCGUUCAUCCUUUUAGGGUCAAGCAACCAGACUGGUGGAUUUGUAGGAUUGUUAAGCAUCAAAGAAAAAAUGGUAUAUUGUAGUAUUUCUUUCGGUCCUUUGCAUUCUGAGUUGAAGGACGGAAGACUUAUUCAGCCCUCUUGUUUAAGCGUCCCCUCCCAUCCAGUCUUUCGUUACCUUUAAGAGAAUUCACUCUGCUGCUAGCAUUCGGUCCAAACCUCCUGUUUGAGGAUAACUUGUUUCCUUCCGACCAUUACACUGGGAGGUCUUGACACAAAGGUAAAUAAAUAAAUAAAAAGGGUUAUGUACACUGUGCAUUGUACUGGGUGCUCCGAAAGUCUUGUCACUUCCUACCGAAAAGUACUAAGAACAAUAGACAAACAAUAUAGUAAUAUCAGACACACGUACUGGUUUUAGUAUAUUCACUUUCAUUGACUCUAACACUGUCAGACAUCGAGGUUUGUUUGAACGCCAACAGCUUUGUAAAAUAUCACACACGACAUGGCGUCGCAUCAUUUUGUGCCACGAAAAUGAGGGUAUUCAUACAGACCUUCUUGAUGUGUGACAGUGUCAAUAAAAGUGAAUAUACUAAAACCAGUACAUGUGUUUGAUAUUAUUAUAUUUUUCCUCUAUUAGUACUUUUCAGUAGGGGGUGACAAGACUUUCGGACCACCCUAUACAUGUUCAAGUAUUAGAACAAUUUUAAGUGCUCAAACCUAGUUAAAUAGUCUUUCUAAUUUCGACACAAGGCCAGCAAUUUUGAGGAGAUGGGUAAAUAGAUUACAUCAACCCCAGAACUCAAUUGGGUACUUAUUUUAUCGAUCCUCUCUCUGGAAAGGAUGAAAGGCAAAGUCAACGUCGAUGGCAUCUGAACGCAGAAUGCAAUGAACCGGAAGAAAUGCCACUAAGCAUUUUGUAUAAAUCAACGUAAAUAUGUAUGAUGAUGCUUAGGUGUAGGGCCUUCGCCAGUUAAUGACAAGCAUGUAUUUGUACAUGAAUGUGGAGGUUUGGAGAAGGUUUUUUGUGGAAGGCUAGCAGUUGACCACGCCUACAAGUCUCCCUUCCUAAUGUCACUGAUGUCUUAAUUAAAAGGGAAAAGCUAUUGGGGUACUAUCGCUACAUUAAUGUCGUCGCAGAAGAUGACUAUCAGAACACGCCGAGUCAGUACAGGUACUGCAAGAAACCUCAACCGACCUUCUAAAAGUUCCACCAAUCUAACAUCCAAGACUGAUAUUCUUUUUUUCAAUUGUGUCUGGGGAGAGUCAUUUUUUUGUGCUUUAUAAUGUUCCACACCCACCGGUAAAAUUUCCACUUAUUUCUUAUUCUUAUUUUCCUAAAAUUUUCGUUGCGUCUUGCAACCUUUUCAAUAGUCUUGACUCUCUUUUUUUCAAUGAAUCCUGAAAAGAUGAAAGGGGACAAAGUUGACCUCAGCGUUUUUUAAAAUUUUUAUUUUCAUCUUAGAUCGAUGAGUGCCGGAAAAAAAUAUAUAAUGGACGACAUUCCGUCAUCACUCUAGCGACCCUUGCAUAGUGUGCAUUUACACACACACACACACACACACACACACACACACGUAUAUAUUCGUUGUUUCAGUGUAGAGAAACAAUCAAAUGUUGAAGUAUCGACAUUUUUUUUUGUUCUGUGCUUGACCUAAACUUCCAUAUGCAACGUGCAAACGAUUUGUUUGCCAGACACCUGGGACGAGGGGCAGGAGAACCCACAGACUGUCACUCGUUCGUGAAUGGAUUUGAAUUAGUAGUAAGAGAACGAAAGCCAUCACGUUUUUAAUUAACUACUGCAGCCAUUAGCUCAACACACACACCAACAUAGACAGAGAAGCAGGAACAUGCACACACACACACACAUGUCUAUAUAUACAUAUAUAUACGCACAUAUAAAAAUGCAUGUAUAUAUAUACAUAUAUAUAGAUAUAUAUACAUAUAUAUAUAUAUACAUAUAUAUAGAUAUAUAUACAUAUAUAUAUACAUGUAUAUAAUAUAUAUACAUAUAUAUACAUAUAUAUAUACAUAUAUACAGACAUAUAUACAUAUAUAUAUAUGUAUAUAUAUAUAUGUAUAUACAUACAUUUACAGUCAAAUACAGGCACACGCACACACACACACACACACACAUAUAUAUACGUAUAUAUAUAUACAGCUGUAUAUGUGUAUGUGUGUACACACGCACACACACACAUAUAUAUGUAUAUAUAUACAUAUAUAUACAGCUGUAUAUGUGUAUGUGUGUACACACACACACUCACACGCAUAUAUAUAUAUAUAUAUAUAUAUAUAUACACAUGAAUGUAUGUGUGUGUGUCUGUGCUGCUCUUCCCAAUGCGAUUAAAUAAAAUUAAUGAAGCAGCAGCUGUAGUCGUAGAGGAAACGACAUGAAUUGUUGCGAGCGGGAGUUGUAACAACGUAAUUAAAAAUUGCAAAUUGUAAAUUAUGACUUUGGUAGCGAUGGUUUAAGAGUGUCAUGCUUGCAAUAUCUUUCUGGUUUCUCUCUGCACCACACGUAGGAAUCGACACUACAUGGUCAUCACGAGCAGAGACAUCACGAGUUUUGUCUUUCUCUAUCUUUCAUCCAAAUCUAUAUAUAUAAAGCUGAAGUUGUCUGUGUGUGUGUGGCAGGUUUGGUAGCCUUCAACUAACACUAUCUCCUCUGAGACCCUGCGGCGCAAGUUGAUCAAAAUUGAGAGUAUGAUAGAAUAAGGCUUGCUCUUCAUUCCGUAGAAGAUAAACUUCAAAUCGGACCAUGUUAACACCAAAUAUUAUUUACAUCAAAAAGGUGCUUUUUUUUCUAUGAAAAUCCCUAUUUUUUACGAUUUUUUGACUGCUGUGUCGCCAUUUUUCGGUGUAUUUCAACCAGAAAAAUAUUCCCUUAAAGAGAAUAACAAGCUACAUAAUGCAAAAUUUUUACUUUUCAAAAAUUCCAAUUCUGAAGGGUCAAAAUGAAAACAAACCCGAGCACCGCCGGGCUAUACUGCUAGUAACGUAUAGUAAACAACUUGUUUUACAUCUACGUUAAAGACAAUUGUAUGAAUGCUAGCUCGAUAUGUUCGAAUAGUAACUAAGCAUUUCUCGCAUAUGGGUGCAGGCAUGACUUUUAAUUUUUGAGAAGCUUGCUUUGCAACCACGAGGUUUCGGGUUCAGUACCGCUGUGUGGUACCUAGGACAUGUGUCCUCUACUAUAGCAGUAGGCCAACCAGUGGAGUGUAAGUAAAUUCGGUAGAUGGAAACUGUGUGUAAACCCAUCGUAUACACACACUCAACCCCCCCCCCCACACAUUAGGCUCUGAAGACACGCUGUAAAGCUAAGCACUUUAUAGACGUGAAAACCAGGAUAAUCCCUUAGACGCGCCAUUACUAUCUUUAUCUAAUUAUAUAUAUAUAUAUAUCACCGUGAUAACCGUGACCGACCAGACUAUCAGAUGUUGCUACGCAUCGCUGGUCACAAUGCGCUUCGCAUUGUUUUAGCCUUCAAAUGACGUCACCCCGCUGGCUAAGCGAGCAGGCCAACAGAAGAAAGAGUGAGAGAAAGCUGUGGCGAAAGAGUACAGCAGGGACCGCCACCACCACCUGCCGGAGCCUCGUGGAGCUUAUAGGUGUUUUCGCUCAAUAAACACUCACAACAUCCGGUCUGGGAAUCGAAACCGCGAGUCCGCUGCCCUAACCACUGGGCCAUUGCGCCUCCACACACACACACACACACACACACACACACACACACACACACACACACACACACACACACACACAUGUAUGUAUGUAUGUAUGUAUGUAUGUAUGUAUGUAUGUAUGUAUGUAUGUAUAUAUGUGUGUGUGUGUGUGUGUGUGUGUGUGUGUGGAUAACUUUCAAAAAGUUCCUUAUGGAAUCGAAACAUGAUACUCGGAAAAAGAACUAACAAACAAGUUAUGAUCAAACUUAUGAAUUUGUUGACAUCGAAUUAAUAUCAAUGUAUAACUGAAAACAGGCGUAAAAAAAAAAGAAAAACUAAAAAAAAAUCGUGUACCAAAAAACUGACAAGCAGCUACCGCUGAUCAAGCCAUCAGAUACAAAACCAGAGAAAUAAAUCAUGAAGAUAACGAGGUCCUUCAAAACACGAUAAAGUUGCUGGUCCUUAUCAAAUCCCUGCUGUUACACGGUGCUAGCUGAUAUCACAUGCCACCGAUUUCCACUAUAGUUUAUUGGUGUAUUUCCAAACUAGUGGAAUUACGAAGAAGGUACUUCGUAAUUCCUACAGAGGUAUGGCAAUGAUGUUGAUUACAUAGGCCCUAAUGUUCAGCUGUUACUUAUUUUAUCGACCUCGAAAGGAUGAAGGGUAAAGUCGACCUCAGCAAAAUUUGAACAAAGAACGUUAAGACGGAUGAAAUGCCGUUAUGCAUUUUGCUCGGCAUGCUAAAGGUUUUGUCAGCUCACCGCCUUAAGAGAAAUUAAUAUUUAGGGAGAGAUCCAAAGAAUGAGUUUAGAUGUGGUUGUUCACCUUGCUUUGUAGCAGCCUAAUCACCCUAAAAUGACAUCUUGUUGCGUUGAGAAAAAGAUGGACACAUUGGAUGAGGUGGCUGUAGAUAUGAAAUGUUUGAGAAAAUGACGGAAUGGUCGUGAGUGGCUGGCUGGAACGCCUCUCAUCUGAGGUCUGCUCAGCCGUCAGGGCUGAAAAAGGGCUAAACAACAAAUUGUCAACAUACACAUAGUUUCGAAAGGGGAAAGAACAAUGUUAAAAUGGAAAAGUUAGAAGAAAGAGAAAGAGAGAGAGAGAGAGAGAAAGAGUGUGUGUGUGUGAGAGAGAGAGAAAGAGUGUGUGUGUGUGUGUAUGAGAGAGAGAGAGAGAAAGAGUGUGUGUGUGUGUGUGUGUGUGUGAGAGAGAGAGAGAGAGAGAGAGCGAGAGUGCACGAGACAGAGGGAAUGAGAGAUAGCGCGAGACGAGGUAAGAGAGAGAGAGAGAGAGAGAGAGAGAGAGAGCGGGAUGAGAAAUGGGGAGAGAGAAGGGGAGAGGAAGAGAGAAGGAAAGAAAGAAGAGGGAGUGAACGAGAGUGAGCGAGAAAGAAUAAGAGAGAGGGAGAGUGAGAAAAUGAGAGAUAGUAAGAGAUGUGGAGAAAGAGGAAGAGAAGAAAUAACGAUACAGAAAAAAAUAAAAAUAGAUAAGAAGGGAAUUAUAAGAGAUUGAUGGAUACGUAGGAGAGAGAGGAGGGAGAGGGAAAGUAAGUGAGGAAGAGAGGGCGAGGGCGAGGGAGAGGGAAAGUAAGAGAGGAAGAGAGAGCGAGGGAGAGGGAGAGAUAAUAACGAAAAGAGUCAAAGCGAUGUAGAAAAAAUAGACAGAGUGGUAAAAAGUGCGAGAGUCAUAUAGAUAGACAGUAAGAUAAAGAGAGGGAAGGAAAGAGAGAGAAGCAAAGAGAAAGAGAGAGGGAAAGAAAGAGAGCAAAAAAUAACAGUACGAAAUAUAUGAGCUUAUGUUUACAUCAUAGGAUCGUUUCGUUUGAAUGUUUGAGCUCGAACGCUGGUACAGAACGGUCGGCAAUAACUCAUCUACAAUGGAAUAUCAUUAAAAUACGAAUAUAUGUAAUCGAAUAUAUGUACAUAUAUAUAUAUAUAUAUAUAAAGAUGAGGUCCUGCAAGCAUAUUCCUGGUAAGUCAAUCAUUAUUAUUAAUAUCUUUUAAUUACAUUUUUCUUAUUCUUAGUUGCUGAAAAAGCUGUUAUUGAUACCGAAAGGAUCAAAAGCAAAGUGUUGAUCCUUCUGCAGUCAACUUUGCCUUUAAUCCUUUCGGGUGGUGAUAAAAUAGAGUACUAGUCAAGUAUCACUGGUAUUGACUAACUCCCUAUUUUCAAAAUUACUAGAAACUAAAAUUACUAAACUAGAAACAAAAUGACUAAACUAGAAAUGAAUAAUAUUGCUGUGUUCAAAUCAUGCUGAGGUCAAAUUUUUCUUUUAUCAAUCUAAGAUUGAUAAAAUAAAGUACCAGUCAAGUACUGGGGUCGAUGUUAUUGACGAGUUCUUCCUACAAAAUUUCAGAUCCUGUGUCUAUAGUAAAAAGGAUUAUCAAGCGAAGGUAAAGAAUACGCAAGCCACCCGUUUUCGGCGUUUAGGGUUACGGUUAGUGUUAAGGUUAGGGCUACGCCGAAAACAUGUGGUGUGCGUAUUCUUUACCUCUGCCGAUUAUUAUUAUUACUAUUAUUAGUAUUAGUAAGAGGAUAGCGAGCUAGUAGAAUCAUUAGCAGCCGGGCAAAAUGCUUAGCGGUACCUCGACGUCGCUAUGUUCUGAUUUCACUGAGGUCGACUUUGCUUUUCAUCCUUUCGGGAUCGAUGAAUUAAGUACCAUUUGAGUACUGGGAUCGAUCUUAUCGACUUAAACCCUCCCCUCAAAAUUUCAGGCACGCUGGGCAAAAUACUUAGCGGCAUUUCGUUCGCCUUUACGUUCUGAGUUCAAAUGCAUUUCUUCCUUUCGGGGUCGAUUGAAUACACACCAAUUGAGUACUGUGGUCGAUUUCACCGGCUUAUGUCGCUACUCUGAAAUUGCUGGCCUUGUGCCAAAAUUUGAAACAAUAAUAAUUAUUUUUGCUGGAGCACGAAUAAAAACUGAUAUCCUUUAUUGUACAAAAGGAAAACGUUGAAAACAGAGGGAGAUAUACAGGCCCGGCAGUUUCAGAGAGUCAAAAAUUUUGAAAUUAAUGCGGCUGGACUUUGAGACAUACUAAAUAUUGAAAGACGAUUUUCCCAGUGAUGUGGGAGUCUCCAGUGCAAGGGACAGCAGUAGACCCUUAAAGGACUUCCGGAAGGACUCUCAGAAUUUCAUGGAGACUGAGUCACUUGGUUUCCGGGACCACGAAAUGAGUCAAUAAUCUGUUACCUUUCUUCUUUCUUUUCUACCAACAUAGUAUCUCGGAGAGUGGUGCAAAUGGCCUGGAGGUCUCUCUGGAAGCAGAGUCGUCUGCUCAAUGACUUCAGGUCAUUAGGCUUGAAUGUGAUAACUAUCGUCGAAUCUAGGGUUCACGACAGACGUGCCUUAGCACCUAUUUUGGGCUACUGAGAUCUUCACAUCUCUUACUUGGCCUGGAAUGCUGGGCGGGGUUGUGGUGCUGUUUUGGAAAGGCCUGGGUCUCAAUAUACGGUCGAUCUUCCUGGAUCAGAACGGUAAGUUGGCAUUCCUUGACGUGGACAUUAUCUAAGAUUGUGCCUUUAGAUUAGUCGCUCUUUAUGACCCGACUGGGGCGGGACGACAGGAUUUCUUCAGGCGACCAGAAUGCAUCGUAGUUUAGUACUAGAAGGCAAUCAAGACACCACAAUCUACGCAAUUCCAGAUUGUGUAUGGUUAGCAAAUAGCUUCGAAAACUUACUCAGUCGUUUCCAACUGACUGCGAGGUACCGACAAUAUUAUCCAAGUGUGUCAAUGUGUACAGGGCCAAACAGCAUCAGGUCAUACUGAUCGUUUCAAAAAAUAUUAUUCUGUAGGUCAGUAGAUGGAGAUAGCAUAGGUUGUCCACUAUUGAAGGUUGUGCUUGUAUUUGUGAUCGUGGUGUCUGUGAUAGCGGUGGUGGUGGUGGUGGUGGUGACAGGAUGAUGCUCUUGUUAAUGCUAGGGAAACAGCUGCUGGGUGGUGGUGUUAGUGAAUCGUUGCUUGAAGCCACCUCCCCCAUUUGUUCGUAUCUUCCGGUUUUGUGAUUUAUAAUUGUCCCGGAUAUGUUGCAUGUAAACAAGGAUUCAGUUACUGGAAACUGAACGUUUCUUUCGUUGCGCACCAAGUUUACAAAAUCCAGAUUAGAGAACUAGUUAAGAGAGAGUUUACAAAAGCAAUCGUCAACAACUGAUUGUGGUUAGCCCUGAAAAGGACUAUUAGUUUAGAAUCGAUAAGAUUUAGUAAGAAAAUGGUUAUAGUGAUUUUUUUUUACUUAAGGCAGAAUUAAUAACUUAGAAGAGGUGUCUAGGAAAGGCAUUGCAGAUGAUGUGCUGGCGGCGAGAUUGGUCCUUGACCGAUUCUUCAACGCUAAGCACUAUCGAUGCACUUGCAGAGCUACGACUCGUACUAUGAGGCAGGAGGGAACAAAUGCAGCUCAAUGGGUUCGCACGGCAGAGGCGCAGCGUGACAGUAAAGCUACAGUUCAGUCUUUGACGGAUUGGGAGGGGCGUGUGCAACUCGAUUCCAAGCAGAUGCAUCACAAACCUCCUCAAGACAUACCUCGACUCACAUCACGUAGAUAUGAUGUAUGAAGAAGGUGGCGGUCAGGACCCUAUAUGGCAAACAGAAGUACCCCAACCCAGAAAAACUACCUCCACAAAAGCUGGAAGAUACGAACGAAUGGGGGAGGUGGCUUUGAGCAACGAUUCACUACCACCCAGCAGCUGUUUCACUAGCACUAACAAGAUCAUAAUCCUGUCACCACCACCACCACCACCAUCACCACUACCACACCCACCGCCGCCGCCGCCGCUAUCACAGACACUAUGGUCACGGGUACAAUCAACCAAAUUCACUCACACUUCAACAGUCAGAACACAUUCUCCAAUCUGAACAAAAAGGAAAUUCACCACGCAACCAUAAACACAAACAAUAAAAAUAUCUGAUGGAUCACAUACAAAUAUCUCAGACAUUAAAUGCAUUACAUUAACAGCCAAACAUGAAAAUCACUUAAAUGUCGCAAUACACAUGCAUUAAAAAAAAUAAAUGCCCCCUAUAGAAUAGAUUUCAGAGACAAUAUAAACAAAAGAGUGUCUAAAGAACACCCAUAACCAGCGGAGGGGCGGAACACUUGUUCCUCCACAUGAAUACGCCCUCCUUCUAUCGAACAUGACCAUAAUUAGAAUAAGCAGUGUAAAUGCUCAUGGAUGGAAUCAAUCGGACUUAAUGGAUCUGCAGACAGCUCACUACUGUAAUGGCCGUUUAGGACAGAAAUUUGAAAUGUUACUUGAGUGGUGGCACAAACCAUCUGAAGGCUUUCUGUCCAGGGCAAAAAAAAAGGGGAAGCAAGAAUCCUGCUUUUGCCGACACCGUUAAAACAGCAACAAGACCAACAGCGAAAGCAGGGGCAGCACCAACGGCAGCAAGUGGCUAAAACAGUAACAAUAACAGCAACUGUAUCACUAAAAGCAGCACACACCAAAGCAUCAGCAGCCGCAGCAGCAGCAGCAGCAGCAACCACAGUAGUCGCAGCAGCCGCAACAACAGCAACAGUGGAGGCGCAAUGGCCCAGUGGAUAGGGCAGCAGACUCGCGGUCGUAAGAACGCGGUUUCGAUUCCCAGACCGGGCAUUGUGAGUGUUUAUUGAGCAAAAACACCUAAGCUCCACGAGGCUCCGGUGGGGUGGGGGUGGGGGGCUGAUACCCGCUGUACUCUUUCACCACAACUUUCUCUCGCUCUUUCUUCCUACUUCUGCCACGAAGCAGAGGAACCAUGGUGUAACCUACUAUGGUGUGGUAAACUUUCAGACCCUAGUCUAGAUUGCGAACCCUCUGUACCCCGGGAUUGUUCAGCUCUCCACCUGUUAAAAGCCACCGUUUACGAAAUGAGGAUAACAACGUAGCUUUCGCACCCGUGCAACCGCCAGUCUAUCGCGUGUGGUGGGUGGAUCUUCAAGUUGCCACACGCAGUCUUAGUAGCUUAGAGUAGGCUCGAAUUAGAGAUUAUUCUUUGUGGCUAAUGGCGUGAGUCCUGAUUAGAAGAAGAAGACAACAGCAACAACGACAGAAAAAUAUCAGUGGAAACAACGGCAACAAAAAUAAAAUAAGAAACAUCGCCCUCAAGAGCUAUCACACCCCCACCAACAACUGUAACUGAAAGUCCUCGAAAAAAAAAACCCUCAAGACAUGACCCGCUCCGCUUCGUACUACUUAUUUAUGUCGUUUGGUGAAGGUGGGGGAGAAGAAAACAAAUGGUUAAAUGUAACAAACAAGAAAAAGAAGGAACAACAAAAGAAAAAAAAAACUGGGAGAUUCAAAUGGGUAAAACAAAAACCUCCCAACAAUGACACACGAACAUCAUCAUCAACAACAACACCAGUUGUGCCAGCACCAUCGUCACCAUCACCACGAUCACCACAGAGACAACCAGCAUUACAAACACUAGCAAAUCCCAUAACACCCGAAAAUCAAAAACAGCAGCAACAGGAACCUUAUAAACAUCACUGCCGUAAAUAUGAAGAACAACUGAAAUACAUAUAUCAAUACGCAGACAUCAUACCAAAAAAUAACAUACCGACACCCAAAGAUCAAUCAAACAAUACGUAAUAUACAUCACACACAAGGCGGCGAGCUGGCAGAAUCGUUAGCACACCGGGCGAAAUGCGUAGCGGUAUUUCGUCUGCCGCUACGUUCUGAGUUCAAAUUCCGCCGAGGUCGACUUUGCCUUUCAUCCUUUAGGGGUCGAUAAAUUAAGUAACAUUUACGCACUGGGGUCGAUACAAUCGACUUAAUCUAUUUGUCUCUCCUUGUUUGUCCUCUCUGUGUUUAACCCCUUGUAGGUAGUAAAGAAAUAGGUAUUUCGUCUACCGUUACAUUCUGAGUUCAAAUUCCACCCAGGUCGACUUUGCCUUUUAUCCUUUCGGAGUCGAUAAAUUAAGUACCAGUUACGUACUGGGAUCGAUGUAAUCGACUUAAUCCCUUUGUCUGUCCUUGUUUGUCGCCUCUAUGCUUAACCCCUUGUGGGCAAUGAAGAAAUAAUAAUAUACAUCAAACGAUAAAAAUAUAAAUAUCCCGAUAGUGCAGGGGACUGUAGCGGGAACAUCAGCAAAAACUUAACAAAGAACUGCUUGUGUAAAGGCCCACAUCUAACCAGAAGGACAAAAUAUCUGUACCUCGUCCUCAACAGUCCCUCGUGCACGGGGACUUUUCUCUGUUCUCUUUCUGUCGAACUUGAACUUAUUCAGAAUAAGCAUCAUAAAAGCGUGUAGUCUAGGGUCACCUUGUAAGCAGGGCCAUCGAAAUCAUUACUAACUAUAAAUGUGUGUGUGUGUGGAUCAGUCAAACCAGAGUUUCUGACCCUCACAUAUCAAUGGUACGAUAUUUACCUGUCUCCAAGUUGACUCGAUCGGAAAUAUAAGGUGGCAUGGCUGUGUUGUUUCGGAAAGGUCUCAGUCUCAUGAUACGAACAAUGUCCAUAGACCGAGAGCGUAAUUCGUGUUACUUGACGUGACGAGCAGAGAAGGUCAUACCCUGAGGAUUGUAACCGUCUCCGGUCCAACAUGAGCUAGGAGACCAGAUUUUCUUUAUGCAUUUGAAGUGUUUCCCGGAAAAACAGCUCCUUAGUACUGGUGGAAGACUGGAAUUGUAUCUUGGGUGAAUGUUGGAAAUGUGUGGAGCUAGUCGCUUGAAGAGAGGAAUAUAAAACCUUUAUAAACCUGUUGAGAUGCUUCCAAAAGUCUGUGCCAUGUAUUCUUGAAACGAUCGUAAUGGUGGGAUAAAUGUAAUAUCAUCUAUUCCAUUCUUAGUCUCAUACUCCGCGACAAAUGAAUUAUCUCUAGAAGUUUAGAUUGUGUGGAACUGUCCACUUCUAAGCACGCUGUUAGCAGUUAUUCGCAGGAGAGAUAAGGAAAUCGCUCGGAUUUCUAUGUCCCCUUCAAUCUGAUAUAUAUAUAUCAGUUAUCCGGCCAUCGAAAGAGAGAUUUUUUCGAUUGUCGGAUAACUGAAGAGAUGGAAGCGUGGGUUUCCGCCCCGACAUCCGAAACUCGGAGUUUUAUCAUGGCUACCGAAUAAUUAUCACAUAUUAAUUUUACAGAUAAAUCCCUCUAUUUACAUAAUAUCGAAGUCUCUUUCAUUCUUUUGUUGUCUUACCAUUUCUAUCAAUAUAUAUAUAUAUAUAUAUAUAUAUAUAUACACUACAUGCACAUAAACAUACAUAAAAAUACGUGUAUGUAUUUUUUGACAAAACCGUGGGGAAUGCAACUCUUUGGGAAGAAAGAUACUCUGACAUAAAAUGUGGUUAGAGUACCAGCCAUCUUACAAUGUACUGGAACCUACUACUUCACCGAGAGAGAGAGAGGGAGAGGGAGAGAGAGAGAGAGAAAGAGAGAGAGAAGGAGAGUGGUAAAGUGUUGUACAAGCUUUUGUCACUUAAAUCCAGUGACAUAUAGAUAUCUCGCUAUCGUUUCAUUGUUUGAUCCAUUUUGUUUUACUUACAAAGUCCUAUGACCAUGGAUGCUUGGCGAUGUGUUGAAAAGUUAUAUUUGUGUACAUGCAACAGUAGAAGUAAAUCAGCACAAUCAGGCUGAAUGUGAGACGGCUAGGUUCUGAAUAGAAUAGACAGUGCCAUUUGCAGCAUAUUUAUUUAAAAUCUAGAAUAAUUAUUAAUGAUUCGUAUAGCGUUCUACUUACGGGUGUGAUAAGCGAUUGAUUUAUGCAGGUGCGAUCAUUCAGGUGUAAAUUAUUGGUUCUGACUGUAAUCUAGUAAAGCUGUCGGAUUGAUAAUUGUUGAUUCCCACAACUCUUUUGUUACAGAUGUAUGAAGUGUUCAGGGAGGAGUAGCACUUCUGGUACAAAACAUCUACAGAUGAUAUCAUCUGAUUAAUAUUGGGUAGGAGCUAAGGUGCGUACCUUUUUUGAAGUAAACUUCAAAAACAAUAUUUAGAUAUUUGUACAUAUCUUUAUUGAACCACAUAUACUCCAUUUUGUUCCACUACCUUUGAUGACUAUCUUUGAAGCAACUUCAUGGUCCCAUUCUCCCAGUAUUAUUCUGGGUAAUGAACUGGUCUUAGUUGUUUUUACGGUCUUCUAAAGAAUUAAGAGAUUUUGUAGGGACCGAAAUAAAUAGUAAUCCGAAGGUGCACGCUAAGAUGAGUACGGUAGUGAUGUUGAACAUCCCAGACAAGCUGCAACAAGUUCUACCUAGUCUGCAAGGAAACAUGUGGUUUGGUGUUGUCCUGAAGGAAAACGACAUCCCCACACAAAUUUACGCCCUCACAAGGUCCCACAGAUACCGUUGUAGAUAAGGUAAAAAUGAGAUAAAUGGAUUCUUCAACCUAUAGCCCGUCAGUACAAUGAACCUGAUUUGGAAAGUGAUGGGGGAAGGAUUAAACUUCAACUGGUGAUAGGGGCAAAAACCAUAGAAGCCUGUGAUAUUAUUAAGUUUAUCGGGAGCAAAUAAAUAUAUAUCUUUUUAUUUAUUUGUUUCAGUCAUUUGACUGCAGCCAUGCUGGAGCACCGCCUUUAGUUGAACGAAUCGACCCCUUUGUAAGACUAGUACUUAUUCUAUCAGUUCUUUUGCCAAACCGCUAAGUUACGAGGACGCAAAUACACCAACAUCGGUUGUCAAGCGAUAGUUGGAGACAAACACAGAUAAACUGACUUAUUCAUAUAUAUAUAUAUAUAUAUAUAUAUAUAUAUAUAUAUAUAUAUAUAUAUAUGUGUGUGUGUGUGUGUGUGUGUGUGUGUGUGUGCAUAUAUGGGUACAGGACGUCACCAUCUGUGCAAGCAACAUGAAAUACGUAUACAACGAGAGAAGAAAUUGGAAACCAGGACAAGUAAACACAGAGAAUGGACCUUCAUCAGUUGUUGGCUGACUAUCUACUCAUUUCGAGCACAAACACACACACACACACACAUACGGACUUCUUUCAGCUUCCGUCUACCAAAUCCACUCACAAAGCUUUGGUCGAUCCGAGGCUAUAGCAGAAAACACUUGCCCAAGAUGCCACGCAGUGGGACUGAACCCGGAGCAAUGUAGUCCUUAAGCAAGCUACUUUAUUUCAAAAAUUUUGCCAUAAAGGCACGAUUCAGAGUAGCUUGCGGGCUGGACAAAGUCAUUGAUGAAGCGAAUGAUGACAAGGAGAAGACAAUUAAUGGGAGAAGACAAAAAACGCCCGCCGAUCCUUUGCUUCUCUAAAACAUAAUUCUCUCUCUUUUUUUUACAGAAAAAGACAAAACGUAGUAAUGAACCUCUUACUUCAAUUUCACAAUUUUUGGACUAAUAAAUAGCCCAUUUAAGAAUUGGGACGUUAAGCCUCUUAAACACAAUAACAUGCAAUAAACAUUACAACACUGAAUCUUUUCAGCCUCUUGUCAUUAUUCCAACCCCAACAUCACUUGUGCCCGAAUACUCCACCAUCCCCCACGCCUCAUUGAAGACCAAGGCGGAUUCCGAGCCGGCGUCGCCCGGCCACAAACGAUAUUUCUCAUUGAGUCCCUGCAGCCCACACCCCACAGACACCGUUAUGACCUCCACAGCUAUCUGCGGAGGCCAUUCGAGAUCCUGUGUGAAGGUUAAAAGUACUCCAUUAUGGUGCUUUUCCACCACCUCUUCUACAUCUCCGCCUCUGUAGAAGAAGACCAAUAGUUCCUCUUCCUCUGGGUUCGAGGUAGUCAGUUCUACCGUUGGCGGCACAAUUCCCCCAACGGUGUCUCUUACCCUGUCGGUGGCACAACCCCUACCGGCAAGGCUCUGGUACAUUCUGGUGCUAUGUCACCGACUGCCGGUAAUGACCCGUUUCUCUUCCUCUUCUUUUUUUCCUCUCAACUGAGGGAGGGUGCGUCUCCUCCGUGACUGGGAGAUUCACCUCCUCUCCCUCAUCCCCAGGAUCCUUCGGUGAGCACCCAUUGUUGCUCACCUUCUUCCUCUUGCGGCCCUUUCCUGAGGAGUUCUCCGUCUCCUCAGCCGCUUUCGUUCCCUCUUCUACAGAGGUCUCAAAUGACUGCUCCAGGACUCCGCCUUGCUCCCGAGGACAGUUCUUUAAGCAAGCUACUUACCACACAGUCACUCCUGCGCCUAUAAAUAAACUAUAAAUUUUCAUCAGGUUAGAGAAGAGCGAAUUAUAACAUAUAGGGAUGAAAUGAACAAAGUAUAAUGAAUAAUAGAUUCUGUAAUAAAUGAUAGAAUAAAGUAAAUGAAAUAGAUAAAAAUGUUGAGCAAAGAAAUCUGGUAAGCCAAAGUAGAUAAAUCUAGCUUUACUAGUGUUUCAUUAUAAUAGGUAUUAAGUAUAUUAUAAGCCAGGAAAUGCUUGACGUUAGGUAUCUAAUAGCUGUUUAGAAACUGAGUUUAGAAACUGAGUAUUACAUAUGCUAUAAGUCGGGUGAGGUGUAGAAGUAUGAAUGACUGGAGAACAGUAGGGGGAUAAUCUAUGAAAAUAAAAAUCUAUGGAGAAACAAAUAAAUACAUGAAAUAGAAUAAACAAAUAUGAUGAAUGGAUAUUAAACCAAUUGAAUGGGCCUGUGCCGUAUCUAAACAACAUAGUGGAAAUAAAUUGGUAGGUAGUUAUACAGAGGAAGUUGUCCUACUGCAUCUAGAUUCGUGGUAAAAUUUGAAAGUUUUAAAGAGUAUGUGAACACAAUGGGAGGAUGCCCCGUUGUGCUUAUUUAAUACUUGUGUUGGUUUAUGGGAGAGUAACCAACACAACCAAUAGGGGGCGUUUUGGAUCUGGUAUGGAGGACUAGAGUCAGUGAUGGACAAAGCUUUAUCGUGUGGUACGUUUUCUUCUCCAAGAAACCAUAUUACACGAUAUACAACUUGUGUUCUGCUAGAGAAGUUGAAUUACUGUUAUUUUUUUCUUCGUGUCUAAACGAGUUUAAAUGCGCUGCGUGUCUUUAUUUAAAAUUAACGGUAGCUCCAUAUGUAAACAUUGGUGGAGUUUUGCAGCCUGUUUAUGACGGAGCACUUAUAUACUACGUUAAAGCUUUUGCAGUGAGCUUGUCAAGGGCGUUUGUUUCGUAAAUGAAAUUACACCAGGAGCUCUUUUGUAUAGUAAUCAUUCUGCUAAGUGUGCUAUAAAUGGUAUAAUAAGAAAUUAUAUGGAGCAUUAAGUUAAAUCAUCUGAUUCACUCUCCUCGCAGUUGCAGUUUUCAAUACCAUCUAUGCCAUCAUUAUAAGUAUUGGUGAUUGAAGGGUUCCCAGCCCUUCAGAGAAGGCAAAUGCGGCAUUAGUAACGUGGCUGAUGGUGUUAUCCCUAACAUUGUAACUAGUAGUUAUGUUGUUGUUACUAUUAUUAUUCUUUCCUACUCUAGGUACAAGGCCCGAAAUAUUUGGGGAAGGGGCUAGUCGAUUAGAUCGCCCCCAGUACGCAACUGGUACUUAAUUUAUCGACCCCGAAAGGAUGAAAGCAAAGUCCACCUCAGUGGAAUUUGAACUCAGAACGUAAAAACUGACGAAAUACUGCUAAGCAUUUCGUCCGGCGUGCUAACGUUUCUACCAGCUCGACACCUUAACAAUUAUUAUUAUUAUUAUCGUAAUUACUGCUAUUAUUAUUAUUAUUAUUAUUAUUAUUAUUAUUAUUAUUGUUACUGAGUGAGAGAGCAGCGCAUGCCUUCAAAGUUAAACUGGGGUACAAAUAUACGAAACCCAAUAUACUCCACAUGAUUACCCCCACAUGACUACUAGGCACAUACAUCACGACAAUAUGUGCGCGACAUGGUGAUCUCGUAUCUAGAUUAACAGCGCAUGAUCUUGCAAGUGGGGCCUAGCUAGAAUUUUCUUUAGGUCGAGGAGUCCAAUCCGCUCAAAAGGUCCCUGAAUAAAGGUUGUUUAAGGAUGUUAAAUUCAUGUAUUCAGGCGUGAAUUAUCCAAAUCCUCUCAACACAUGGCUAUGAUGCUCCCCCACUACUUCUGCUCGUGAUCAGAGAUGCACAUAUUAUCAGCCACAAAGGGACAUGCUCAACUGGUUAAGGUCAAACAACUGACAAGCAAAACUGUGGUAAUUAAAGAGAAGCGGGGUGUAUACUUCUUCACCCACUUCUAUUAGGUAAUCCUGGGGGCAUAGAAUUCAAAUUUCUAGUGGGUAUUUGGGAUGUAACUCUAUCUUCAGAAUUAUAUUUCGCAUGAUUCAUUUUAUGGUGACGAAGAGACAGUUGAAUACAUAUCGUAAGCUGUUGGUUGUGGUGUAGCGUAUUGGGGUGAGUGUUCUUAUCACUAGUCUCAAAAAUUUGUCCUAUGAAGAAAGGCUGAGGACGCUCGACCUUUAUUCUCUUGAAAAACGCCGCCGCCGUGGUGAUCUCAUUCUCGCCCACAACAUCAUAAGCGGAAAGUGUAACCUCUCGAAAGAGCUGUUCUUCACUCCUGCUCCAGAGCGUCGGCUGCGGGGUCAUUCCGAAAGCUCUACCUGCGACGAUUUCAUCUCAAUCGAAGGAGAGGAGCUUUCUCCGUCCGGGUUGCGGAUCCGUGGAAGAAGCUGCCAGACGAGAUGGUGAAGAUGCCGACGACCGCUUUGUUCAAAGCCUCCCUUGACCUCAAGUGGCCUGAACUCUUUACAUGAACACCACCCUGUACUUAACUCCAUGUCCCCCUACAUGGCCUUGCUAUUUGCUUUUGAGCCAAAUUAACUAACAAACUAACUAACUAACUAACUAACUAACUAACUAACUAACUAACUAACUAACUAGUGGUGAGUGUUGAUUUCAUUGUUUUGAGGUGUCUAGAAUCACGCAAGAUUAAAUUCAAUUAAAUUCCCUGUUGAAUUUAAUCUUACGUCAGCAUCAUCAUGGCAUACCAGCAAAUGGUUCUUACACUAUUUGUAUAUAGUCAUAGAUUAGUGAUUCAGUUCGUCCCUGGUUCAACCCAGUUAUGUGAUAGUGAUAAGCCACAAAAAUGACAGAAUAUCGAUAUCUAUCAUUCCUGGAUGGGAUCGGGGUUGAGUUGUCUCGCCUGACUAUGACUUUCAGGUGUUUUAACACCUAGUGCUAUGACGGAGUCGUUCCUAAAGAGGUAUGUCAUAGUGAACCGGCGAACAGGCAAAAACAUAGAGUAUGUGUGGUUGAUAAUACAUACAUACAUACACACACACACACACACACACACACACACACACACACACACACACACACACACACACACACACACACACAUAUAUAUAUAUAAACAUAUAUAAUUUAUAUAAACAGCAGUUUGCAGUGUUUUACCAAAAAGAAUUAUAAUUGUUACUAAAUGUGACUAGGGUGUUAGAAACACCUACAUUGUUAGAGAUAAGAGCUAAAAUGUUCUAAUGUUGUAGUCAACGCGCAUAAAUGUAAACAUAUACAUUAACAGGGCCCUUAAUCGUCCGAAAAUUGCCGAUCAAGAAUUCCUAAUACUGACGUCAAUUUCGGCAAUUUCCGUUGCCUCACCAGUUGGAACUGGAUCAAACUUCGGCUCUUUCGGACUCGUUUCUCUAUUAGUAUAUGUUUUCACCAUUCAAAUUAAUGGAUGGUUUAACGAUUCGCCAAUGCGUAUACAUAAAAUUAAUAAACAGCAGUUUGCAACGUUUCACCAAAAAGGAAAAAUUAUAAUUGUCACUAAAUGUGACUACAUUGCUAGAGAUCAGAGCUAAAGUGCUCUAAUGCUACACUCUCCCACAUGCAUUUGUACAAAUAUAUGUGCAUAGAAAUAUGCAUACAUAACAACACAUAGACACAAACGUGCGUACACACGCAUUCAUAAAUGCUUUGAUAAGUAACGGCACAAACAAUAGCUGAGUUAGUAUCAGUACCUGCUCAGUAAAUAUUAUGGUUAAGAAAGUCAAUUCCAAAAAUAGAUUGGGUAAACGACUGGAGACUCAUAUACGGGUAGAAACGAGUUGUUCAACUUGAAAAGUAUCAUAUUGCCUUAUUUCUUUAUUCGCAACACGAACAAUUCUAGCCUUGCCUUCCACGAUCAGGCUUUGAUUAUUUAACGAUACUACUACCAAUCAAAGCAUUGUAUAAUUCUUAUUGUUUAUGACACGAUAAAAUCACAAACUGCGGCGUUUGAGGUUGAAAAGUUGAUUUGACUUAAAAGAAUCAAUUCUUCAUGUAGUUGACACUUUUCACUACCAACAGCAACAACAACAACAAUAGCAGCAGCAGCAGUUUACCUUGUAAAUAGUCACCACUCAUUUCGAUAAUUUCUUUUAAUCUUUAAUAUCCAUCAAUCAAACUUACCUUUAAACGAAUAAUUAAAUAUAAGCGCAGGUAUGUCUGUAUGGUAAGAAAUUUGCUUCCCAACUACGUGGUUUCGGGUUCAGUCCCACUGUGUGGAAUUUUAGGCAACUGUCUUCCUCUAUCGUAUGAGACCGACCAAAUCCUUGUGACAUGAAUCUAGAAGACGGAAACUGCAAGAAUCCCGUCACACACACACACACAUAUAUAUAAUAUGUGGUAUAAUUAUAAACAGGGCGAAUUUUAGCCAUUUCUCUGCAAUCUGGAAAAAUAUGCUGAAUAACCUUAAUCGAUUUUAGAACCUUAUUGGGUUCCCAUCAGAGGGGUCCACAUCAUUCUAACAGCCUCCUGAGAACCAGGCAGCCAAAUUGCUAAUAUACUCAACAAAUGCAGCAGUUACUCUAUGCAUGAGUCCCUAAUUUGCAUACCGAAAGGGUUUAACACUCUAUAAAUAUCACCGGCCUGUCAACGGGGAUCUUAGUCCACACGGUAUCAAGGUAUGAUAUAAUAUAUAUGUAACAUAUGGUAUAAUUAUAAAUAGGGCAAAUUCUUUUAUUCUCUUAUUUGUUUUAGUCAAUUGACUGUAGCCAGGCUGGAGCACUGCCUUUAAUCGACAAAAUUGACCCCAUGACUUAUUCUUUGUAAGCCUAGUACUUAUUCUAGCGGUCUCUUUUGCCGAACCGCUAUGUUACGGGGACGUAAACAUACCAAAGUCGGUUUUCAAGUGAUGGUGGAGGGACUAGCACAGACACACAAACGCGCGCGCGCACACACACACACACACACACACACAUCGGGCUUCUUUCAGGUUAUAGUGGAAGACACUUGCCCAAGGUGUCACACAGUGGGACUGAACCCGGAACCAUGUGGUUGGUAAGCAAGCUACUUGCCACACAACCACACCUACAUACAUACAUACAUACAUACAUACAUAUAUAUAUAUAUUCAUACAUACGUAAUACAUACAUAUACACAUAUAUAUAUUUAUGUUUGUGUUUGUGUUUGCUCCUCCCGUUUGACAACCGGUAUCGGACUGUUUACGUCCCACUUACACAGCGGUUCGGCAAAAGGAACGGAUAGAAUAAGUAUCAGACUUGUUAGUAUCGAAAUUGAUUUUUUUUUUUGAUCAGCCGCAGUCUAAUGACUGGAACAAGCAAAAGAUAAAAAAACUUCAGCAUAUUUUUCUUUCCGUUGUGAAAUUAGUCGCCACGAGAGUAUUUGCAGAGGGCUUGGGAUGAGAAUCGAACCGACCACUUUUGUUAUUUAACAAUACAUUAUGUCCCGCUUAAUGUGGCCGGUGAGAGUUCGCAACUGAGAGGAGCUUCGAGGAAACGCUACAAAGUCUGCCUCAAGAAGUCUCUAACAGCAUGUCAAAUUAACCACCAAUGCUGGUCAGACCUGGCUGUGGACCGUGAUGUCUGGCGCCACACGAUCUUCAACGCAGUCAGCAAGUUUGAGGAACAAAGAAGAGACGCACUUAAAGACAAGAGACGCAGGAGGAAGGUGCGAGCCGCCUCUGGUACCACACCGGAUGUUACCUUCGUCUGUGGACACUGCUCACAGACCUGCCUUUCCCAUAUUGGACUUGUCAGUCAUGAGCGUGCAUGCACGCGACGUGGACAGCCUUCCUGAUCUUCGUUCGCGAGCCAUAUAUACUUUUGUUUUAGUUAACUUUGCAAAUAGUGAAGAAAGAGCUAGUAAAGUAUUUGGAUAGAUUUAAAGACUAAAUUCUGUCCCAAAUUCCUGGCUUUGUGCCUACGUUAAAAACUAUGUAUAUAAAACAAAAGACGACUGUGUGUGUGUAGAACGUAUGCAUUUCUAUAAUUUUUAGUCGAUUUUCACCAAACGUUACACACACAUUACUUAUGUGCCAAGGAUGGUCAUGUACUAUAACAUUUGCCCAGAGCUCCCGUGUAGAGCGAGAAACUGGGAGAAGCGGUGUUUUACAUGGGUUUUUCUCUAAAAGCUUCUGAAGCUUUCAACCGAUUCUCUCCCUUUUCUCUCUUCUCCCUCUUUUUCUCAUUCUCUGUUUCUCUUGCUUAUACAUAUACCCUUCCUCGUCCUCUGUAAUAGUUCCUCUCUUUUAGUCUAUGCCUGCUUCUUUCACUCUCCCCCUCUCUCUCUCUUUAACUCACUCACACACUAAUUUCUGUCUACAAGUUGACAUCCGUGUUUUUCAAUUAGUCGUGCGUAAAAAUCUCCGUUGUUACAGUUUUUGUACGUUUUCCCAUAGAAAUAAUUUAGUCACUUUUAAUUUUUGUUUACACAGUGUGAUUAAAUUCAGUUUUGCCACAUCUGCCUAAAAAUUGACUCCAUUGUAUUUUAAUUUUAUCGUGCGUAAGUAUUUGUCAUUACGGUAUUUGUACGUUCUCUCUACAACGUUACUUAUUUAAAAGUUUUUGCAUUCCGUCUAUUUAAAUACACUAUUUACAUUUCUCCCUCUAUCGAAAACGUGCGUGCAGUCGUGCAUGCGUACGUAUGGCCGCUAUGGGUCACAUACAGCCGAUAAGCCUUUAUCAUUAGCCAAUGAGAUUUCAACCACGCCACUAAGCAGUCAUGCGUUAGAAAAAACUAUCCUAAAGCGGUUCAUAUUUUUCACUCAAGCUAUUUCCUUCUAGAGCUUUAUACACUCAAACAAGGUUUGUAAGUUCUGUCUACAAAUUGACUUCCUUGUCUAAAGACAUAAUAUUAUUUGUCUGUCUGUCUGUUCCCUAUGCAUUCUCAAACUGCUCGACCAAAUGAAAUAAAAUUUUAUCAGAUCCCGUGAGUGUCAAUAUGUAAUUUUUUUCAUUUGGAUUAAAACAAUAUAACAUUGACACUGGUUCGGUAUUACAUGUUAAAAGUGAAAGAAUAAGAUGUGUGAAAAGUCUAGCUGCAUCCGGAAAAAAAUAUAUAUAUUAUGAAACAAAAAUAAACGCAAAAUUUAUUACACGAAUCUGUUAACGCCACGAGUCAACUAUUUGACGCCGAACACAAGUUUGAUGUUGAAUUUUCCGUUCAGAUAGCUCUUCCCACGACUGCAAGACGGCUUCGUGCAAUUCAUGCCUCGGUUCGUAAGCAAGCUACUUACCACACUAUUUUUAUAGUAACGUGACAAGGAGUUAAAACUUCUAUCUUAGUAAACUUUAAUAAGAGAGAGAUAACCAACUUAAUUAGAAAUCUUUCUUCAAAAAUUAAAAAUUCUGCGCUAUAGAUAAGUUUCAAAACAAAGAUGCUAACGUGUAUGCAGCCAGACUUUUCACACAGAUGAUAUAUUGUAAUGUCACAUAAUGUUGUUUCAUUUUUAUUCUUUCACUUUUCCUUCUAAUCUUAUGAUAGUGUUAUACUUUUAUUCUUUCACUUUUAAUUCAACUGUGACAAAUAAAUGAAUAACUUAUAUCCUAAUGUGAACAACAUUAUGCACCGGCAACUUUCUGUCUCUACCGCCAUGGCAGCGGAAUGGUGUGUCAGUGUAUGUGUGUUGACUGACAUAAUGAACGGCUGGAGGUGAAACUCUUGGCAAAAAAGAAUUAGGUGGCAGGUCCAAGGUAUAUAAAAAUACACAUUUACCGUUCAAUUACCAGUUCAUAAUUAUCGCAGCAGUUGCAAGGUUGCAAUGUAUUUACAAUUACAUAUUUACCCUUAAAUUAAUGGAGUCUCAAUAGAGAAGGUUAGCAAACGCAUACUGCAGCAUGUCAAAUGGAGUCUCAAAGGAGAAGGGAGAUGAGACUCCCUUCUGCAGCACGUGAGAUGGAGUCUCAAUACAAAAGAGAUGGGACUUUCCCAAGAUCAGCAAAUGCAUGCUGCAACACACCAAAUGCAUGCACAUCCCCCUUCCUGCAAUUUUCCAUGACAAGUUAGGGCCCGGAAUACUCCAAACGGAUGCAUGACAUGUCACUUAGUCGAAUUAGUCCAUUAUUUAGUCCUCAAAUGUUUUGUCAAUGCUGCACUUUCCCGAGUCACCUGUUUCAAUGUAACUAAUAUAUAUAUAUACAAACUAUGCCAUUUUAAUCUCGAGCAACGCCGGGUAUCUUUGCUAGUUAGUUAGUUAAAGAUUAGCUGAAUCGUUUGAGUAAUUCUUGCAGUAAUUCUGGCUCUUUAUGUUCUGAGUUCAAAUCCUUCCGAGAUCAACGUUAUCUUUCAUCCUUUCGGGGUCGAUAAAAUAAAGUAUCAAUCAAGUUCAGUGGAAACAUGGUACUUAAUUUUCAAUCUUCGAUUGCUUAAUGUAAAGGUCUAUUCCAGCAAGAUUUAAUCUUAAUAUGCUUAAGGACAAAUUUAAUUACUCUCGACAAUUUACCGUUUUGUAGCUACAUCAGAUUUCCUAAGACUUGAACGUUCUUUCAUGUUUUUGUGUUUCAGGUUGAAAAUAUGAGAGAAGUUAACCUUCCUCAAGUUGCUGAUAAAGGAUUACGG